GUCUACAGCCAUGCCACCCUGAACGCACCGGAUCUCAUCUGGUAUCGGAAGCUAAGCAGGGUCGGGACUGGUUAGCACUUGGAUGGAAGGCGUGAUCCUUGAGUGCAGAGCCAGAAGUAAGCC
rnacentral:rRNA from 1 species